rnacentral:rRNA from 1 species
GAUGAACGCUGGCGGCGUGCCUAAUACAUGCAAGUCGAGCGAACAGACGAGGAGCUUGCUUCUCUGAUGUUAGCGGCGGACGGGUGAGUAACACGUGGAUAACCUACCUAUAAGACUGGGAUAACUUCGGGAAACCGGAGCUAAUACCGGAUAAUAUUUUGAACCGCAUGGUUCAAUAGUGAAAGACGGUCUUGCUGUCACUUAUAGAUGGAUCCGCGCCGCAUUAGCUAGUUGGUAAGGUAACGGCUUACCAAGGCAACGAUGCGUAGCCGACCUGAGAGGGUGAUCGGCCACACUGGAACUGAGACACGGUCCAGACUCCUACGGGAGGCAGCAGUAGGGAAUCUUCCGCAAUGGGCGAAAGCCUGACGGAGCAACGCCGCGUGAGUGAUGAAGGUCUUCGGAUCGUAAAACUCUGUUAUUAGGGAAGAACAAAUGUGUAAGUAACUAUGCACGUCUUGACGGUACCUAAUCAGAAAGCCACGGCUAACUACGUG